GGGGAUGUGGCUCAGUGGUAGAGCGCUCACCUAGCAUGUCUGAGGCACUGGGUUUGAUUCUCAGGCCCCA
rnacentral:tRNA from 1 species